CCGAAGACGACUGUCAAACUUGGGACCGGGAGAGGCUAGAGGUACUUCUGGGGUAGGGGUAAAAUCCUGUAAUCCUAGAAGGACCACCGGUGGCGAAGGCGUCUAGCUAGAACGGAUCCGACGGUGAGGGACGAAGCCCUGGGUCGCAAACGGGAUUAGAUACCCCGGUAGUCCAGGGUGUAAACGCUGCCGACUUGGUGUUGGAGGCCCUUCGGGGCAUUCAGUGCCGGAGAGAAGUUGUUAAGUCGGCUACUUGGGGAGUACGUCCGCAAGGAUGAAACUUAAAGGAAUUGGCGGGGGAGCACCGCCAACGGGAGGAGCGUGCGGUUUAAUUGGAUUCAACACCGGAAAACUCACCAAGGGCGACUAUCACAUGAAAGCCAGGCUAACGACCUUGCUUGAUUCUUAGAGUGGAGGUGCAUGG
rnacentral:rRNA from 1 species